UAUAUUCACUCACUUAUAAAGUACUUUAAUAGUUUAGCUCCUCUACAAGGAUGUAUAAUCCUUGAAGCAGGAGCUGUUCUCUCCCAAGAAAAUGAAAAUCUCUGUCAUUAAGUACACAACCACGGGGCCAGAUUGCUUGGGUUCAAAUCUUGGUUCUGCUGCUGGCCAACUGUGUGAUCCAAGAAAAGCUAAUCGACUUCUCUGUGUCUUCAUCUGCUGAUCUGUCAAAUGGAGAUACGACUAGUCCUACUUCAUGGAGUUGCUUCAAGGAAUACAUUAGUACCUCUCCCAGUGCCUGCAGCCACACAAUACAUAUUUGAAAAGUGGAAAUCUUUCAAGUGUGAGUUACUGUGUGGAUAUUGGCGUAAUGCACAGAGAAGAGGAAGCACUGGAAGAUGAUCAUGGAAGGGAGAGCAGGCAAGCUUGCAAAAUCAGCACUGGCUAUUUAAAUAGUAUCUGCCUACGAUGCUGUCAAAGAAAAAUGUUGUAGAGCAGUUGGAAAUGUGACACUGAAGCUCAAAACAGAGGCCUGAGGGGAUUAAUUUUCCAGAGCUGCCAUAAUAAGGUACCACAAACUAGGUGGUUUAAAACAAUAGACAUUUAUUGUAUCACA